rnacentral:rRNA from 1 species
GACAGAGGGUGCAAACGUUGCUCGGAAUCACUGGGCGUAAAGGGCGUGUAGGCGGGUAGAUAAGUCGGGCGUGAAAUCCCUAGGCUCAACCUAGGAACUGCACUCGAAACUGUUUAUCUUGAGUGCCGGAGAGGAAAGCGGAAUUCCUGGUGUAGAGGUGAAAUUCGUAGAUAUCAGGAGGAACACCCGUGGCUAAGGCGGUUCUCUAGUACGGUACUGGACGC